GUAAAUUCCACUUGCUUAGCAUUUCCAAUAAUGGAUAAAUUGGCCUUGCAACAGAAAAACAAAACAAAACAAACCCCUUAGAUACCCAAUCACACAAAGCACUAGAAGGGUAAGAUCAUGUGGCCUUUCUUUGAUGUCAUAGGGAUUGACCACCUCACACAUUAUUGUAGUAGUUGUUUUUUUUUUUUUUUUUAAAGGCAACAUAUUACAUGGAUAUAAAAGAAGCAUUCUCAAUCAGAAAAGUUACAGUCUAGAGAUGUAAUCAAAUUUAUGCCAGGUAGUGUGAAAUUCUCUACUAAUUACAAAUUAUGCAUGAACCCUGAUACAUUUGGUAUGAAGAUACUUGGAUUGUAUUCAAGUCUCUUUCUCUCCCUAACUCAUGUUCCUCUCUUUUCUUUCUCCAUUCAGGAAGAAAACUGCUAGAUUUCAUGUAGACCAAUAACAUUAGAAAUAUUUUUACUGGCAAUAUUAGAUUGCAUCAUUGUAUGAAAUUUUAAAAUUUUUCUGGGAAGAAACACUGAAAUUAAUCCCAAACAUCAUGAUUCACAAAUAUACUGCUUAAAAAUACCACUGUUCAAUUUAUUUGCUAUCAUAUUUUAGACUCUCUCUAGAUGAAACUAGUUCAAGUUCAGUAGAUUAAAUAUUAAAGCAACCAUAUUUUUUUAACCUUUAGUUGUAGAUUAGUGGUUUUAUAUUCCCUUUUAUUUUUCUGGCUUUCCCUGAGUAAGACUGAAAGAGAGGGGAGGAAAAAAAAAAGACUUGUGAAUUCUUUAACCUGGCAAAUUAAAAAGAAGUAAAACCUGAAACAGAAGGGAUAUCAAAUUUUAGUUUUAGCAUCUACUUUCUGGGUCAUGAAAAGCCUUUAAGACUCUUCUUACACAAUUACUUGGCAACCAUAGGUAGUGGUGAUUUGCUAUGAAUUAUACAUAUUUCUAAGGUACUGUAUGUCUGAAGUUCAAGCCACUUAUUGGCAUUUUUAUAUCAACUAAAAUGUCACAAAAGAUGUUUUGCAUUUUUUGCCCUUACUGAUUAAAGCUAAUUGUAAAGGUAUUCUUUCCUAUGAAAUCUAGAAUCAUUCUUCUAGGACACAUUCAAGUAAUGUGACCAAGUUUUACUGAUGCAUCUCCUUGCAAUCCAAUAAUGCAUGUCCUUUGCAUUACUUUCUCAUACUAAUAAUUUAUUGCUAUGAACAUCAUUGAAACAAUAUGCAAAACAAGUGUAUAAUCUAUACUUUCCUAAUACUUAAUGUAUGUUAAACUAAAACUAUAUUUAAUGAUAUA
rnacentral:lncRNA from 1 species